GGGUAGUUUCCAGAGUGGCCAAAUGGGGCAGACUGUAAAUCUGCUGACUUUCGUCUUCGGUGGUUCGAAUCCAUCACUACCCA
rnacentral:tRNA from 1 species